UCAAAUCAGAAGAAAUUGAGAAAGAUGGAGAGAAAGGGAGAGAGAAACAAAGAUGUAGAGAGAUUUUGAAGGAUUAAGUUGUUUCUUUAUCAGAUUAUUUUGAUCUCAGGGUCUGAACCAAGUCUGAGCAGGUUGUGUAUGUUGUUUUUGAAUCAUGGGUGCAUGAAUCAUUUGGUCGCAGUUAAUGAAGAUGGUUGGACAUGAAUACGUCGAAGAGAUGAUUACCUCUUGAUUAUUCCAUUCAUAAAUGGUGGAUGUCACUAGGAUUGAAGAUUAUCAUGUUGAUGUCUAAGAGACGGGUAAAACAUCUUAUAGGUAGAAUCAUUAGUCGCAUAUCCAGGACUCCAUUUGGAAGAUGAAGAAAUCAACGCAUCAAAAUUGCUAGAGAGAAGUAAAGAAGGCCUAUGAUGUGCACUGAGUGCUUUACUUGCACCUUACUUAAUGAUUUACUACCAUUCUUGCUUACGACUUUGUACUUUUUUUCUCAUGUAAACUGUUACAAUGAAUGUUACUAUCUUAUUUAUUUUAAGAAUUUAGAUUGGUUUUUACUUCA